GUCCUGUUUCUCUGUCUGCAGGUGCUCUGGGCAUUGCCAUACUGUUCUCUACAAAAGGGGAGCUCUCAAGAGACCUUUGCUAGAAAAAUUGUUCUAGAGGACAUAUCUGUUGAAAGGUUCCCAUCUUUAGACAAGCUCUUCAAGAAUUAUUUAGCUUUUUCUGCUCACUUUCUGUAUGAAGUUCACAGCACUCUUUUGAGACAGAAUAGUGUUGGAAGAAUAG
rnacentral:lncRNA from 1 species